rnacentral:lncRNA from 1 species
AUGGGUUUUGCCAGUGACUACUCGGACUCAUCAAGCAUCAGAGAAUCAGAAAGUGUCCUCCCCAGGACCUCUCAGAGAAGCACAGAGGCGAUUUCAGGAGACACUGCCUUGCUCACAUCCAAGAUACGGGUAGGUGGUUCUCUUUCUUUCCUCUCCCCGUAGAUUGAGGGGGAAACACUGAACAGAGUGUUAUCAAAUCAGAUGACUAGAGAUGACUGUUGGGUCCUGUGAGGUGAAGCCCACCUGGGACACACCGGUGUCAAGACUGUGUUUGCGGCUUAUUCCUCCCUGUGGAUUUUAGAGGGUAAGAGAGACCAUUGACCUUGAUUUCUUUGUGCAGUUCUCCAUGGUAGAUCAUCUUUAGAAUACUUGCCUGUCCACUCUAGGCUGGAUGGAGCUCGGCUAUCUCAUCCCAUUUCCAGAUACGCUGGUCUUCUUCCUUGAAGUCCCAGAGGGUGACCUCACUAGGCCCCUUGACUCCGUACAGUGGAGGCAGUGUUCUUUCAUUCAUUUGUCCUCUCCUCCCUCUACCAGACUUCUUUAGGUGUAUACUAGGGCCCAGGGGCAGAGAAUAUCCAAAUACUUUACAUCCUUGGAGGUGCUAGAGGG